CUUACCAGGACGACCGCUAUCUGACCACACUGGUUCCAGUGACUGGAUCGUCUGGUCUUCAGUUCCCAACCCACUACAAGCGCUUUGCUGUGAAGAUGUUCACAUUUGUAGAUCCAGCCUCACUGGCUGCUCUGCAGGAAACCAUCUUCAUCCACUGCAGUACAGAGGUGUGCCAUCCAUCAUCUGGCUCUUGUGAGCAAAGCUGCACCAGGAAACGAAGAGACACUCGUAUCAAGGCUGUCUCUGGGGAGCAGACUGUGGUUUCUAGUGGAGAAGUUACUCUGGUCAUGUAAAUCUAGUGUUUUUAAUAAACCGUGCAGAACCCU